rnacentral:rRNA from 1 species
UACAUGUGGGGCAAGCGUUGUUCGGAAUUACUGGGCAUAAAGGGUGCGUAGGUGGUUUGUUAAGUCACGGGUGAAAGUUUUCGGCCCAACCGGAAAAUGGCCUGUGAUACUGGCGAACUUGAGUGCGUGAGGGGUAACCGGAACGAGCAGUGUAGCGGUGAAAUGCGUAGAUAUUGCUCGGAAGGCCAGAGGCGAAGGCGGGUUACUGGUGCGCAACUGACACUGAGGCACGAAAGCGUGGGGAGCAAACAGG